rnacentral:misc_RNA from 1 species
GACAGUGUAGACAAGAACAAAGGUGCCAAUGAUCUCAGCACCCAAUCCAGUUCCCUUGUUGUACCCAUCCGAUAAUUCAUUGGCCCCACCUCCAUACCUGUUAUAAUAAGCCUUUUGGAAGGCCUUCACUAAACCACACCCACAGAUUGCACCCAAGCACUGUGCUACCAUGUAUAAAAGGGCCCUGAUUAGUGACACCUUGCG